GCGACCGGCAAACGGGUGCGGAACACGUACAUAACCAACCCCGUCCCGGAGGAUAGCCCGGUGAAAACCGGAUUAAUACUCCAUAGUAUAUUAGAACUGCAUGGUUUUGAUAUUAAACAUAAGGGGGGCGAGACGGAUGUGCGUAUGAUUAGUUAGUUGGCGGGGUAACGGCCCACCAAGACCACGAUCAUUAGCUGAUGUGAGAGCAUGAUCAGCCACAUGGGCACUGAGACACGGGCCCA
rnacentral:rRNA from 1 species